CAUUUCAUUGUGUUGUAUGUAGUGGCUAUAUAUCUCCGGAGUAUGCAAUAGAUGGGCUCUUCUCCGUAAAAUCUGAUGUCUUUAGCUUCGGUGUUUUGGUUUUGGAGAUCGUGAGUGGCAAGAAGAACAGAGGAUUUACCAUCCCAUGACCACAACCUUUUGGGACAUGCAUGGAAACUAUGGAAUGAAGGAAAACCCUUGAAUCUGGCAGAUGCUAUAUAUGAUGGAGGGUCUAAUUCCCACACCAUAAGUGGUAAGAUGUAUUCAAAUUGCCCUCUUGUGUGUUCAAGACUGUCCUGAAGAUAGACUGACUAUGUUAGUGUUUUGUUAAUGUUAGAUAGUGAAAACGCAAUUCUGCCGCCUCCUAAACAAUUAACCUGGGUUUUACACAAUAAGGUUUUCUCCCAGGACGGACUCUUCGUCAACUGGUAUAUAUCCUCUCGCUUCAAAUGAAGUAACAAUAUCAGUGCUUCAUGCUAGAUAAAUGGGAUUUUUGUCCUAAAACCUUGUAAAGAAACUUCUUCAUAAAUUGUUUUUCAGUAGUUCUACUUUUUCUCUACGAAACUCUAAAAUUUGUUAUUAGCUUCAUUAUGUUUUCGAUACAACAGUUGUCCUCUUACCCAAGGUUUUAAUUGGGCGGUAGCAAAUCGAUCGUGUAUCCAUAACGGUAGCAAACCGCGUAGGAAGUAUCGAAUGACAUGUAGCAAGAAUCAGGUGUAGGGGUUGUGGAUUUCAACGAGUUGGCCUCUUACCCAAGGAUUUUGGGGAUAUUAUAUAUGUUUAAUUAUUUUUAAAAGACGUAUAUAUUUUGUACGAAUACUCAUUCCGUCCCAAAAAGAUUGUUCGGUCUGUAAAAUGAGAACUUAAAAAAUGCAUUUUAGAUCAAAAAAUUAUUAUUAUUAUUUUUUGCAGUAUACUAUAUCUUAAUGAGUUCUUUUUAAUUUUAAAAGAAUCAAUUUAUUCAAAUAAUAUAGUCUUUUCAACUUCAGUUGGGUGAAUUAGGUGUUCAUUUUGAGAUGGAAGAACCAGUAUAUUAGUACUAGUAAUUAUUUUUAGGUGUCAAGUCCACGUUCAAAUCCUAACUUCCUUGUGUUACUGCAGAAUGCAAGGCUUUCUAUAUACAAAGAUGUGGACGUGACUUAUAACUACUCACAACCAAAAUUUUGUUCUUAUCAUCAGUACAAUAGAAUGGUGGUAUAUAGUAAUACCCGUUCACUAAAUUGCUCAUAUUUAUUUUAAGUGACAAUGUCAGCAAUCCCACUUGACUCGAUCGUAUUUAUACAGUAAUAAAUUGGAAGCCAACUUGGAAUGAGAGUUACUGGUACAUGCAAUCAAGGGAAGAAAAUCAAGUGUGACUGGUAUAUAUGGCAUGGAAUUAAUGAGAGUGACUUGGUACAAUCAAGGGUGGAAAAUGAAUGGUACUACAAACAUGUACGCUAGCUUGACAAGUGAUGCAAAGGAAAGUGAACAACGAUCGGGCGAGAUGUGAACAUGGGUGGCGGUUGAGUAGAAUAGAUUCGUGGUGUCUAUAUUCAUGGUGUGCGAGAAGUGUGAAAGGGAGAAAAUGGUGUAGUUGCAGGAGGAAGAAAGAACGGGCAGUGAACGUGGGUGGCGCACGGUUGAGUGAGUAAAUGUCUAUUUAGUUUUCUAAGCUUACUUUUCUCUGGUAGUUAUGUUUUUGCAGGGGUAAGAGUGUCAAACACUUUUGUAAUUGGGCUUCAAAAUUUUGGUUAUACCAAAUGGUGCUCCCCAUUAUAUAGUAGAAUA